AAACCUGUUCCUGCCGCGCCACCUAUGGGCGGUCAGGGACUCAGCGGGUUCAUGAAACGUAGAGGUGGGGGCAUAGAAAUGCACAAUGUAUGAUUAAUUUGAACAGCAUUUCUUUUAAAUUCUGCCUGCUAAACUGUGAUGCUUAAUCCAGGCACGUCUGCAAAACCAGGCCAGGGUGGCUCCGUGGAAUCCAUUUUGCUAACACCAUCAAUUAGUUCUUGCACACCCAAUAUGUAAUCCAGACGGGCAUGCUCACGGGUCUUCCCAUUCUUGGAAGCACAGGCUUCAAGUUCACCAACAGCAGCACCAACAAACAGGACAGCACAGUCAGCCUGAGAUGCACCUGCCACCAUAUUUGUACCUAUUUAUGCUAACAAAACUGAAGAGGAUUUUUGUUUUCAUGACAAAAGAUGGAAGGAGAACUAGCAUUCAUUCAGCAUUGGUUUUGCAGCAGCCUUCUAGAGGCAGCUGCACCCGAGCAGUGAGUGGCACUGCCAAGCUCCUUCCUGGAAACUUUGUGCAGGCUGGACCUGAAAUAACUCAAUAACUAAAGGACUUCCAUUGAAAAAAAAAGAAAGAAUAUUUUGUCCUCUGGAAUAAAUAAAUUCUCACUGAAGAGUGGUCCCCAGUUCCAUUCUCCAUGGGCAGAUGAUGUCAAUAGUUUCCUCUGAUUCAUUCCAGAAAUCCUCUCUGCGUAUACUUGGAUAUUUGUAGAUAGUUUUGUUUGAAAAUUAGGCUGACAAAUUGCUACAACAGAAGGGCACCAGAUAAUUCCUUCUUCUCAUGUUACCCCUUCCUGACCCCACUAUCCCUGAUUUCUACAUCAGUGACUUAAAUCCUUGUCGGGAAGAGAGGGAGCAUUCUGGAGUGGACUGAUGAAAAGAUAUGUGUGAAACAAGACCCACAAAGAAGGGACAAUCCGUCUCCAUUCAUGGAUUGCUACAGUUUCUUAGUUCUGAAACAUGCAUCAGAUAAGAAAUCCCGUCUUGUGUGAUGGGGAUGAACUGAGUCCAGGACACUCAGGUUAGGAUGAGGUGUAUCAGUAUCCAGGAACAGUGUCAGGACAGCCUAAUGCAUGAGAUACCCUGCCCAGUGAUAAUUCCAUGCAGAUAUAUUCUUUCUCAUCAAGCUCUUCUCUGGCCAAGUAACACUCUAGGUCUCUCCCUGUCUUGAUAUGGCCAAUAUACCCAACAACAUCAAUUAGUAACACUGCGUUCCUUUGCGCUUUAACUUCUGGGAGGGAAGCCUGCUAAUUUAAUUUAAUUUUGAAUUAAAAAUCAUUUUAUUGAAGUAUGAUUGACAUUCAAGCUGUAUAUGUGUCAUGUAUAAAACUCCAUGAGUUUGGGGAUAACUAUUGUUAACCUCAGAAAAAAAAGUUAUCAGUUAUUUCAUCAACAAAAUGGGUUCAUUUAGAAAAAAACAACAAAAAGUCAAUUUGGAAAGUGCAGCCUCAAGCCAGCACCUUCUGUAGCUUUCAGAAGGGAUGUUACUACACCAAGAGCAACCUACUUCAUCCUUCUUUUGGGGUGGGGAAGCAACAUCAUUUUCUGUUGGAGGUGCAAGGCAGGUUGGAUCCUGGCGUUUGUUGACUACAAGUGUGAGAAUUCUUUUUUAGCUGCCUGAUCGUACCUAAAUAGGGGUUCUGUGUAUUAAUUUUCACUGUAUGCUUCUGUGAAACAUUCACCACCAUUGAGGCCUGAAUCACCAUAUCUAUCUUUUUCCAGCCGUUCUCCCCACCUCUAUUAUUAUUGUUGUUGUUGUUAUUUUAAUGAUAAGAGCACUUAAUGUAAGAUUUAUUUCUUAGCACAUUUUAAGUAUACAUCACAGAAUUGUUGACUGUGAGCACUGUGUUGAAUUGUCAGUCUCCAGAACUUAUUUAUCUUGCGUCACUGUAACUUCAUAUACUUUGACCUUCAUGUUCCCACUUCCCGGCUCCCAGUUCCUAGCAACUACCUCUGCUUUUGUGAUAUUAUUUCAGAUUCCACAUAUAAGCAAGACAAUACCGUAUUUUUCUUUCCCUGUCUGGGAAACCAGUUAAUUUUAAUCCCAUGUAUCAAGGAAAAGUAAAAUAAAUCUA